GGAAACCCCCAUGAGACUACAGGUGUGAAGCAAGAUAGAAUCAUCAGUGCAAAAGAGUCUCUUCCAGGGUGAAGGAUGGACUUUGGUGUGUUCUCUUUUGUACAUGCCUCAGUGAGAUGCACAAAGCACAACUUGGUCAGAUUCACAGAGGCUCUCGUCUCCUCUAACUCUUCCUGACUCAGUACUGCAUUUCCAAAUAAAGCCACUCACAAUCUUUAAUCAGGCUGUAAAUUUUAAGAAAUCUGGACCAAGACAGUUUGCUCCAAGAGUAUCCCACAAAUGCAGAUCUUCAGAGUGAGAUUUUAAUAUUGGAUUGCUCACCUGUCUGUUGGUUCCUCUAAUCUGAUGGGACACUCCCGUAAUGAUGCUUCAGCUGUAUUUUAACCUCAAGAAACCCUAAGAUCCCUCACUCCUAUGCUGCUGUCAACGGGAGGCUAAGAAGCACAGAGAAAUAGGCCAUACAAAGUCUACCUCUCUGAACACUCUGGUUUGUUGAGAUGACAGAUGGUUAAGUCUCUCUCUGACAUCAAGAGAUAGAGCCAAAGUUAUCAUGGAAUUGUUUCUUUUGGAAUGUCAAGUUUAUGUGCACCGUAUCGCUCUUCUGAAAUGGACUCAAGAUUCAGGGUCUCAUCUCACUUUUGAUUUAACUACACUCAUAUUCAUCCAUGUGUGAAAAAUGGUGUCAUACUAGAAAGCUUGUUCUUACUGUUUCCUUGCAUAUCUGAAUACCUGCAUCACAUUCAAAUCUAACUCACUGCCUUAAUUUAAUAGCUGAAAGAAACACUGAACAAGUCACACUCCUGCAAGGGCAUGGAACACAGAAUGGCAAGUAUAUCCACUAGGAUUGUAUUUUUCUACAAGAAAUAGACAGCCUGGCAAAUGGUGGCCUAAAUUACUAAUCAGUUUAUUUUAUUCUUGUACAUAAGUUAGCAAACCAUGAUUGGUCUCAAGGAGCCAUCAAAAUCCAAUUUCCUUCAAGCUUUUUGCCUAGCCUUCCUUCACAUAUAGCUCCAUUCUCCAGUUUUCCCCCAUGAACUUGGUAAAAACAGAUUUCAAAGUUCAAACCCGAAAUAUAAAUAAUUAUUCAGGAAUAUCUUAACCAAUUUAUUUCAUGUAUAGUUUGUAGUUUUAUAAAUGCACAGCUUUGGGAGGCCAAGGCGGGUGGAUCACGAGGUCAGGAGAUUGAGACCAUGCUGGCUAACAUGGUGAAACCCAGUCUCUACUAAAAAUACAAAAAAUUAGCCAGAUGUGGUGGCCGGCGUCUGUAGUCCCAGCUAAUCGGGAGGCUGAGGCAGGACAAUGGCGUGAACCCGGGUGGCGGAGCUUGCAGCGAGCCGAGAUCACGCCACUGCACUCCAGCCUGGGCGACAGAGAGAGACUCUGUCUCAAAAAUAAAAUAGAAGCACAGAAGUAUUAUGCGAUAAAAUUCCAUGAAAAUGUAUCUUUCAGUAAGUAUAAAGUAAAAUACCUGUGAUAAGAAAGCGUGUACCAUGGUUGAACUGGCAGUGUAUCUAUCUUUUAUUCAUACUUCUUAAUAAUGGGCAUUUUCUUUGGUGUGUGUAUGUGUAUGUAUAUAUCCCCUAUCUUGUGCUUAUGUAGUCUUGAUUAAUUAUUCAAGGCAUCACAGAAAGCAGUAGAUACUGUUUGAAGUAUCUUCAAACAGUAUUUUUGAAUUGAAGAAUUGCUUUGCAAUUCAUAUAAAGCACGUAGGUACCAGGAGUUUAAGUAACAAAUAUAAAAAGAUUAUCUGGAGCAAUUCUCAAAGCCUUUACUAUGUGAAUGCACAUGCAGAAUUUACAAGAUGACAUUACAGUAUUCAGCAUUUUCCAUGAUCCAUAUUUCACCAUGAACAUUUUUUCUUGCAGAUUCUCUUACUGAGAUACCUUGGAACAUGGUUUGAAUAAUACUGCUCUAACUUCUUUCAUGUCAGGAAGCUCUGAUUUGCCAUAGACUCGUGGAAAUGCCUGCUACAUACACGCGUGUUGAACAAUGAACUUCAUAACUGACAUAUUUAUCAGAGAAUCAGGAGGAGAGAAGAUGCAGAGACACAGAAAGGAAGAGGAUUAGCAACUUUCCCAGAUCUGAGUUGAGCUGAGGUUUGAGUCAAGGCAAUGUUGCUUCUGGGGCUGUAACAACUACAUUUUAUUGUCUCCUAAACAGAUACUUCCUUUUCUUACUUAAUAAGAAUAGACCUUGGAGGUCUGGACCUGGACAUGAACAUACACUUUUCUAAAGAAGAUAUACACAUGGCCAACAAGCAUGUGAAAAAACGCUCAAUAUCACUGAUCAUUAGAGAAAUGCAAAUGAAAACCACAAUGAGAGACCAUCUCACACCAGUCAGAAUGGCUACUAUUAAAUACUCAAAAAAUAACAGAUGCUGGUGAGGUUGCAGAGAAAAGGGAACACUUCUUUUACACUGUUGGUGGGAGUGUAAAUUAGUUCAACCAUUGUAUAAAGCAAUAUGUCAAUUCCUCAAAGAGCUAAAAAAGAACUACCAUUGGACCCAGCAAUCCCAUUACUGGGUAUAUACUCAGAGGAAUAUAAAUCACUCUACUAUAAACACACACGCAUGCAAAUUUUCAUUGUAGCACUACUUACAGUAGCAAAGACAUGGAAUCAACCUAAAUGCUCAUCAAUGACAGAUUGGAUAAAUAAAAUAUGCAUCUUCAACCUUUCUGGACUACAGCACCUGCCAACUGACCCCCACAUCAUGGCUCCAACGCUGGCUUCAUCACAUAUCUUCUCUCUAAGUCCCGUUGGCUCUCAGGGUGAAAUAGCUUAACAAAAUUGCUGAUUAGGUGCCUCAGCAUUGUUUCUUUGUCAUAGUCUCUGUAUUAUCUUAUUUUGAGCCAUUCUUUUCCUGCAAAGAUCCUAACUGAAUGAGAUAAUACCUACCUCAUAAGCUAUUUGUAAGGUUUAAAUGAAUUAAUGCAUAUUUAAUACAUGAAGCUGUGCCUAGUUUAUAGUAAUUACUCAAAAAUAUUACUUAUUUCUCCAUCCAAAACAUACAAACAAUAGUAUAUCCUUCAUGAGGACUUCUUGUGGACUAAAAAGGCAGAAUCUUUAAAGUGCUUUGCAGUCUCUGACAAAACUAUGCUAUUACUCUUACUCAAGGUUUUAAUUGAUUGUAUGUACACAAGGUUAGUUUGUAUGAGCUUUGGAAAGAUGAGAAAUUCAAAGUAGAACAAUGAAGGAAGGAAAGUGUAUGUUCCAUUAAUAAAAUAUAUAUUGGUUCCUGU